rnacentral:rRNA from 1 species
GAUGAACGCUAGCGAUAGGCUUAACACAUGCAAGUCGAGGGGCAGCGAGGGUAGCAAUACCUGUCGGCGACCGGCGCACGGGUGAGUAACGCGUAUGUAACCUGCCCGCAACAGGGGGAUAACCCGGCGAAAGUCGGACUAAUACCGCAUAAAACAGGGGUCCCGCAUGGGAAUAUUUGUUAAAGAUUUAUCGGUUGCGGAUGGGCAUGCGUACCAUUAGGUAGUUGGUGAGGUAACGGCUCACCAAGCCUUCGAUGGUUAGGGGUUCUGAGAGGAAGGUCCCCCACACUGGUACUGAGACACGGAACAGACUCCUACGGGAGGCAGCAGUGAGGAAUAUUGGUCAAUGGGCGAGAGCCUGAAACAGCCAAGUCGCGUGAAGGAUGACUGCCCUAUGGGUUGUAAACUUCUUUUACAAGGGAAUAAAAUGAGAUACGUGUAUUUUAUUGCAUGUACCUUGGGAAUAAGCAUCGGCUAACUCCGUG